GACGAACGCUGGCGGCGUGCUUAACACAUGCAAGUCGAACGGAAAGGCCCUGCUUUUGUGGGGUGCUCGAGUGGCGAACGGGUGAGUAACACGUGAGUAACCUGCCCUUGACUUUGGGAUAACUUCAGGAAACUGGGGCUAAUACCGGAUAGGAGCUCCUGCUGCAUGGUGGGGGUUGGAAAGUUUCGGCGGUUGGGGAUGGACUCGCGGCUUAUCAGCUUGUUGGUGGGGUAGUGGCUUACCAAGGCUUUGACGGGUAGCCGGCCUGAGAGGGUGACCGGCCACAUUGGGACUGAGAUACGGCCCAGACUCCUACGGGAGGCAGCAGUGGGGAAUAUUGCACAAUGGGCGGAAGCCUGAUGCAGCAACGCCGCGUGCGGGAUGACGGCCUUCGGGUGGUAAACGCUUUCGCCUGUGACGAAGCGUGAGUGACGGUAAUGGGUAAAGAAGCACCGGCUAACUACGUG
rnacentral:rRNA from 1 species